UACGUAGGUUGCAAGCGUUGUCCGGAAUUAUUGGGCGUAAAGAGCUCGUAGGCGGUCUGUCGCGUCGGCUGUGAAAUCCCGAGGCUCAACCUCGGGUCUGCAGUCGAUACGGGCAAACUGGAGUGUUGCAGGGGAGACUGGAAUUCCUGGUGUAGCGGUGAAAUGCGCAGAUAUCAGGAGGAACACCGGUGGCGAAGGCGGGUCUCUGGGCAACAACUGACGCUUAUGCACGAAAGCGUGGGGAGCAAACAGG
rnacentral:rRNA from 1 species